AUUUAAAUAGUUUAAUUAAAAAUAUUGAUUUGUGAUAUCAAUGAUAUGAUCAUCAUUUUAAAUU
rnacentral:tRNA from 1 species